GGCGUACGUCUGCACGCUGGCACGCAGAUCCCAGCGCAUGCGCAGCGGAAACUGGACAGCCUCUGGAAAUCUUUGAAUGUUUAGGGUCAAGUGUAAGGUAUUUCUAACUUCAGUAAGAGUUUGGCCUUGCCAAGAAAGGCAUUCACAGGAAUAGUUAACAAAGCAGACCCAUUUCAGUAAUGAUACUUAGCCAUUGGAGUGGCUGUUAUAAAAAAUGUGGAAAAUAUCGGUGAAGAUGAGAAGAAAAUGAAGCUCUUGUGCAUUGCUGAAGGGAACAUCAAAUAUGACAGCAGUGGAAAGAGUUCCGUGGUUCUACAGAAAGUAAAACAUGGAAAUAUCAUAUGAUCGAGCAAUUCUGCCUCUGAAUAUAUCCCCAAAGAAAUGAAAAAGGGACUCAAACAGAUCAUAGCAGUGUUAUUCACAAUAGCCAAAAGAUAGAAAGAAACCAGAUGUCCAUCUACAGAUGAAUGAAACAGAUAUAACAUGAAAUAUACAUAUAUAUAUAUAUAUAUAUG